GCUCGUAGUCGGAUUUCGGGGCGGGCCGACCGGUCUGCCGAUGGGUAUGCACUGGCCGGCGCGUCCUUCCACCCGGAGACCGCGCCUACUCUUAACUGAGCGGGCGCGGGAGACGGGUCUUUUACUUUGAAAAAAUCAGAGUGUUUCAAGCAGGCAGUCGCUCUUGCAUGGAUUAGCAUGGGAUAAUGAAAUAGGACUCUGGUGCUAUUUUGUUGGUUUCCAACACCGGAGUAAUGAUUAACAGGGACAGUCAGGGGCACUCGUAUUCCGCCGAGAGAGGUGAAAUUCUCAGACCAACGGAAGACGAACCACUGCGAAAGCAUUUGCCAGGGAUGUUUUCACUGAUCAAGAACGAAAGUUAGGGGAUCGAAGACGAUCAGAUACCGUCGUAGUCUUAACCAUAAACCAUGCCGACUAGGGAUUGGAGGAUG
rnacentral:rRNA from 1 species